rnacentral:rRNA from 1 species
UACAGAGGUCUCAAGCGUUGUUCGGAUUCAUUGGGCGUAAAGGGUGCGUAGGCGGCUUGUCGCGUGCGGCUGUGAAACCUGGGCUGCAACCCGGCCGUGCAGCCGAUACGGGCAAGCUAGAAUUCGGUAGGGGAGACUGGAAUUCCUGGUUAGCGGUGAAAUGCGCAGAUAUCAGGAGGAACACCGGUGGCGAAGGCGGGUCUCUGGGCCGUAACUGACGCUGAGGAGCGAAAGCAUGGGGAGCGAACAGG